GUGUCAGCAGCCGCGGUAAUACAGAGGGUGCGAGCGUUAAUCGGAAUUACUGGGCGUAAAGGGUGCGUAGGUGGUUGAAUAAGUUAGGUGUGAAAGCCCCGGGCUUAACCUGGGAAUGGCGCCUAAUACUGUUUAGCUUGAGUACUGUAGAGGAAGGUGGAAUUUCCGGUGUAGCGGUGAAAUGCGUAGAUAUCGGAAGGAACAUCAGUGGCGAAGGCGACUUUCUGGACAGAUACUGACACUGAGGCACGAAAGCAUGGGGAGCAAACAGGAUUAGAUACCCUCGUAGUCC
rnacentral:rRNA from 1 species